ACGGAGGGUGCAAGCGUUGCUCGGAAUCACUGGGCGUAAAGCGAACGCAGGCGGGUAUUUAAGUCGGUUGUGAAAGCCCGGGGCUCAACCCCGGAACUGCAAUCGAAACUGGGUACCUUGAGUUCGGGAGAGGGAAGCGGAAUUCCUGGUGUAGAGGUGAAAUUCGUAGAUAUCAGGAGGAACACCGGUGGCGAAAGCGGCUUCCUGGCCCGAUACUGACGCUCAUGUUCGAAAGCGUGGGGAGCAAACAGG
rnacentral:rRNA from 1 species